GCUUUUUGAAUGCUGUUCCCGCGAGAACCCACAGGUAUCGCGAGAUGUUCCCCCCAAGCCGCGCGUUAAGGAAACACUGGCAGGAACCUCCAAUUGAGCUCCCCGCUCCGCCUACUGCGACUGCGCACACGCACGUGGCCAGACUGGGGCUUUGCGCAGGCGCAGACGUAGUUCUUUAGCUGAUCGGCUUUACUCAGAGUUGUUCUGCGUGUUUUCCGGCGUCCACUUUGAAUUGCCAUAUUGUUUGUUUAUUCACCAUUACCUUCGGGAGAGACAGUGUCACUAAAAGGCGAGACAGUGGGAAAAUCUGUGGUGUGCAGAAGCCUCCUGCUUCCUACCGCAGACUGGCCGGCUUGCGCUCCGAGGGCCAUGCCCUCACAUAUCUCCCCAGGGUUCCAGGAGUCUGAAUCAGUGUGACAGUGCCUAAACUCAUCAAAGGACAGAAGCACAGUUACUGUUAUAGAACAGGAUGACAGAAAAAAACAACUUGGGAGUGUACGCAGGAAAAGGAGAAAUGGAUGAGUCGGCAUCCCCAAAAGAAAGGCCAUGAAAGAAGGUGGCAUCUACAAAUCAGGAAGAGAGCCCUCACCAAGGAAUGGGCCAGCACCUUGAUCUUAGACUUCUCAGCCUUCAGAACUAGCAUGAAGUUCUGGUAGAACUGACUCUACUUCCUCACCCUGGCAUCAUGUUCCCCUGACCAAUGAAUGAUGCAAGGAGGUACAUGCUAUGAAGUCAGACAAGGCUUUGCCCCAUUAGACGUCUGCUCUCCUGCCCCAGAUGUGCUACACAGAUUCCUGGCCUCUUGACUCAAACCCCCGGGAACGAGGCCAGUGGGCACUUUCUCCUCUGGUCCCUGCCAAGGUUGUCACUGUGGAUGAGGUGUAACAGAUUUGUGACCUUGAGAUUGCAUACAGGAAGCAUGCAGCAGGGAGACUUCUUCAACCCCAACAACUGAUGAGCAUUUCCUUGCUUGGGGUACAGAAGAGAGUGGUUGGACAGUGCAUCAAGGAAGUAUUAAUUUGAACAAGAGGGGUUGGAUCUACCUAAUGGAGCUGGAAAAGAUCUGAGACUCUUAUACAUACAGUUAGCACCCAAUCUUCCUCCAAACCCUAAGGUCAAACACGUGAUCUGUUCUUCCUCAUUUCCUGACUUAUAUUUCAGACUGUUUCUUGUUUUUACAUUAUUAAAGUUACUUUGAAGAUUCACUUUGAUCUGAUUUAAAUGGAAAUAAAUAGGAGUAGAAAGAAACGGUUUCCAGUGCAAUUUUCUGCCCCUUCACCUCCAAACACUAUGUGUGCAUCCAGUCCAUACUGAGACGUUGGGCAUGUCAGAUGAGUAACUUUGGUCCUUUUUACAUGAUUUUGUCUAUUCUUUACAUUUCUAUUCAAUAUUUAAUAGGAAUGGGAAAAAUAAUAAAAGUAAAUGCUUUUUACAUUCAAAAUAAAGGUAUAUUUUCCAUGUACAUAUUACAUGUGAUUUUCUGAACUAGACAAUUUAUUGAGAGGCAUAGUAAACUCUUUAAAUGUAGACAUUCUAAUAAAUCAUCCCCAGGAAAGAGCACAUACAGCAUCAUGAAUUUUUCAGUUUCAGAAUUUAAGCAGGCUGGACUGUUACAGGGAACUCCCAGAAGGCCAGUCUCAAAGUUAGUAGUGAGACCUUAUACACACCAUGCAAAUUUCAUGUAUUUGCCAUAAAAAAUAUCAGCAGAGAGAGGCUGGCAGCAAUAGGGAGUGUUUAAUUGCAGCCAAAUCCAUUUAUGUCUCAUGAGUUUUGUCAGCAGUCAUGUAUGGAGACCUGAAUUGACUGGCUCCCUACUCUAGUUUUAUGCCAGUAGCAUUUUGGUGGCCCCUACUGACUGGUGCUCUGGACAGCUGCGUAAUGGCUCACCCAUGAAUCUGGUCUGUAUCAUCCCAAUCCUGGGGUAUAGAAUGGACUCAGCCUGAAACACUGUGUCAUUUCUAUGAAAUGCCCCCUGGAGAGCCUGGGUGCCAUCUGGCCAGAGGAAGACUGGGGAGAGGGGAGCCUGCUGGAGCUAGAUGAAGGGAUUUGGUUUUGGUCAUGUAGCUGGAAGAGUGAAGUAUAGUUGUGGUAGAAAGUCACAGGUUUUUCUCACCAUCUGAGAGGGAAAGUCUUCAGAGAAAUAAGGGAGGUGGCAGUGCUUUUCAAUUUUGCCAUUCUUACCACCUGCAAAACAUUUGGCAAAGUAUGGAGACUUUUUUUGUGGUUGUCACAAGUGGUGGAUAAGUGCUACUGGCAUCUGGUGGGUAGAGGCCAGAGAUGCUGCUAAAUAUCCUAUAAUGUUUGGAACAGCCCCACAACAAAGAAUUUUCUGGUCUAAAAUGUAAGUAGUGCUAAGUUUGAGAAACCCUGCUAGACCCAGGAUUAGCUCUAGUCCUGGGCUAGGAUAGAUUAUGGGUGUUUUCUUUCCUUUCUAGGAUAAAAGCUUUCCUACAAGGCCCACAUCUCCCUUUGCUUCAACCUUGGCUUACCACCUUCUCAUCUGAGUCCUGCAGCAUCUACAGUCCGUUCCACAUCCUCACCCCAUACUGGUGGAGAACAUGCAUGGCCGGAAGUUGGGAGGGAAGGGAAGGCAGAGAGCUUUGAUCUAAGGCAUGCCUCAGACCUCUUUGUCUCUCUUGGACCACAUUAGGACAAUCCUUUCUAUUAGAAAGGACUAGAAAAUAGUAGUUCCAUCUACGAGAAAGAAUGCAGCCUCCUACUUUUAACCACAGGUAAUAUUUUGUAUUGCACCAAUCCCCCCCCCCCCCACCGUGUUAAACUGGUCUGACCUAAACUCCUGUUUCUCUGUCCCUUUAAUGAUUAAGAAUUUAAGAUCCAGUGCUAGGGAAUUAGGUGCCAGCAUUCCAGCUGUCUCAUUCCAGUGGUGUGGUCUUUGGACAGUUAUUUAACCUCUCAGAGCUUCAGUAUUCUUAUGUGUAAAAUGUGGAUAAAAAUGAUACCUAUGUCACGGCGAUGUUAUAAAGACUGAUUGUGAUGUGUGUUAAUGUCGUUUGUACAGUGCAUACAAAUAGUUAGCACUCAAUCAAUGUUAGAUUCUUGCUGUAGUUUGAAUGUUUAUGUAUCUUCAAAAUUCAGUUGUUGAAAUCCUAGUGGCCAGUGUGAUGGUAUUAGGAAGUAGGAGCUUUGGGAGGUGAUAGGGUCCUAAGGGUAAAGCCCUCAAGAAUGGGGUUAAUGCUGUUAUAAAAGAGACUCCACAGAGCUCUCUCACCCCUUCCAAUGUGUGAGAACACAGGGAGAAUGUGAUAUCUAUGAACCAGGAAGAAGAGAGACCUCACAAGAGUGUGACCAUGCAAGUGAUUUGAUCUUGGACUUCCCAGCCUCCAAAACUGUGGGAAAUAAAUUUUCUUUUUAUAAUCUGCCCAUUCUGUGUUACUUCGUUAUAGCAGCCAAAUGGACUAAAACAAUUCUUCUCUCCCUUUCCUUCUUUUUCUUCUUUUUUAUGAGGGUAAUCUCAUCUUGGCCUAAAAAUACUUACAGAAUGUUUAAAAAAAAAAAAGUAGAUAUUUCUGCUGGAGAUGAUUGUCCUAAUGAAGUCCAAGAAAAAGAGUUCUGAGACAUGGAUCUUUCCUUGAGGAGCUUGUAGUCCAGUUAGUGAUAAAUGUGUGCAAUACAGGAAACAACAAUAUAAGACAGUGAGCUCUGAGUUCACAGCAAAAGAUCAAAUGCUUUGAGCACAGGAAGAAUGAGCUCUGUGAGCAUGAGAAAUCUUACCAGAGAAGCAGUGUCUUCAAGUUCUCAGAAAAAUUAACAGGAGGAUAAAUACUCUGGAUAGAAAAAUGACAUCAAUAAAAAUCUUUAGGUAAGAAAUAGAGUAGUAAGUUCAAAGGACAACAAAUAGACCAUAUGACUGAAUGGUCCUACAUAUGUUUGGCCAGUAGUGAAAUAUAUGGCUAGAGAAAGCCUUUGCUCCAUUAACCAUAGCUCCCAUGGGUGUUUUUACACAUGAACUUGGGCUGUUCAAUGUCAUAGGAUAAACAUAGUAUCUUUUUCUGCAGCUUCAACUUACUUAAAAAUUAAAUUUUAAAUGCAUCAUGUUUUCAUUAAAAUAAAUCCAGAUAUAAUGUGGGGUAGACUAAAAAAUUCAC